CCCCCUACAGGGGGUCUUCGGGGAUUUAAUAAGGGAGGCAGCAAGUGACAAAGCCCCAACGGUGAGGUUGCACACCAAUCGAAAUGCGGGGAAGUCCCAAAAGCCUCAGGGGUAGUAACCUGCUGGUAGGAAUGCAGCAGGAGGCCCUGUGUUAAUCGCACAGGGGUAUAGUAACAACCCCCGGGAGGAUCUAGCCAGGUGUGCUAGAAAUGGACGAUCCGCAGUGAAGCCCCUAGACCAGGGGAACGUUUCACAGACUAAGUGGUUGUGGGUAGUAAGGGACUCCAGCUUUAAGAUGGAAGUAAAAGGAAGUAAAAGUCGUAACAAGGUCUCCGUUGGUGAACCAGCGGAGGGAUCAUUACUGAGUUUACGCUCUAUAACCCUUUGUGAACAUACCUAUAACUGUUGCUUCGGCGGGUAGGGUCUCCGYGACCCUCCCGGCCUCCCGCCYCCGGGCGGGUCGGCGCCCGCCGGAGGAUAACCAAACUCUGAUUUAACGACGUUUCUUCUGAGUGGUACAAGCAAAUAAUCAAAACUUUUAACAACGGAUCUCUUGGUUCUGGCAUCGAUGAAGAACGCAGCGAAAUGCGAUAAGUAAUGUGAAUUGCAGAAUUCAGUGAAUCAUCGAAUCUUUGAACGCACAUUGCGCCCGCCAGCAUUCUGGCGGGCAUGCCUGUUCGAGCGUCAUUUCAACCCUCAAGCUCUGCUUGGUGUUGGGGCCCUACAGCUGAUGUAGGCCCUCAAAGGUAGUGGCGGACCCUCCCGGAGCCUCCUUUGCGUAGUAACUUUACGUCUCGCACUGGGAUCCGGAGGGACUCUUGCCGUAAAACCCCCCAAUUUUCCAAAGGUUGACCUCGGAUCAGGUAGGAAUACCCGCUGAACUUAAGCAUAUCAAUAAGCCGGAGGAAACGUAGGAAAUCACAACGGGA
rnacentral:rRNA from 1 species